GCCACCUGCUAGCAACAUCAAGAGAAAUUACAUCAAAAUUCAGCUUGGGAGAGAGCACCCCAAUUUAUCUCGAUAAGUAUUUCUUUCUAUCUAUCUUUAUACUUAUACUAUAUAAAUAUACAUAAUUAUGGAAAACCAAAUAAAGAUUUUAUGCUUAUAUAUAUAUAUCUUUUGCUUAGUUUAAUAAAUAAAUAAAGUGGCUAUGCUAAUCUGAAUCUUAAUAAUAAAACUCUAGCAUGGAUAUGAUGAAUAGUUGCUCUGCCUAAUUUUUAAAAUUUGAAGUUCUCUCUCAAGUUUAGACAUAACUGUUAUAAUUUGAAGCUUGCUCUAGACCUAAACUUGUGGAAAGAAAACUUGAUCUGAAGUCUAAGUUGUUAACUGAUAUGAUAUGGGAAGGUUGAGCUGCUGUUUAUCUGUUCCUAGAGAUGCUAGAAUUCUGGAGAAUUUUAUCUUUGAAAAAUGUUUAAAAUAUUGCAUGAUGAGUUCCUGUAUGAUGAGAGUUUAAAUUCCUAACACAGCCAUAUAUACAUGCUUGCUAGACUUUGAGCCACAUAUUUACUUUUUACUGCUUAUGAGCAUUGAGUGUGGUCAAGCUGUGUAGACCCUUAGGAGCUUGUCAUGUGGUUAAAUCAAGAUUCACUUGCACGUUCACUCACACAUGCUACUUCUACUCUGGAAGUACCAUCCACAUAUAUCCACUCAUUUCCAUCUCCAGAAUCACCUAAAAAUAUUCUACUCCUAAUCCGGGAGAGAAUUGCCAAAAAUAUUUCUGUUUUUCCCCUGUGAAAUAAAUGCUCAAGUUAUCUUGUUUCUACCACUUGCUAUAUUAUCUCAAGAGAUGAGUGUUUUAAAGAAAAGAAAAGAAAAGAAAAGAUACGAGGAAAUAAAAAGGGGCAAGUGCCCGGAACCUCGAAAGAAAAGAAAAAGUGAGACGAGAGGUAAAAAUGGACCAGUGUCCGACAGUAGAAUUAGGGGAACAAGAUACCCACCUGAGAGAAAAGAAAAAAAGAAGAGCAUCUCAUUCUCCUUAUAAAGUUUCAAAAAGCAAGAAAGGUAUGUAUCCCCUCAAAGAGCAAAAGUAGAAUUAGACUUUCACCAUUGUUAUCACGAUCAUCACCAUAUACUAUUCAUUCGCCACACAUGCACAAGUUGAUUUGACUUAUUGAUUUGUUUCUUUGGAUCCAUGGUUUGACUAUACAAUAAAUGUCUUGUAAGUAUGUAUAAUUUAUCUCCCACCUAUGAGCUCCAGAUAUUAAAGCCUUAUUAGAGUAGGGUGAGAGAGAAGGCAAUAUGCUUUAUACAAUAAAUACCAUAUAUAUUGAGAGAAGGCAUAUACCAUCACUGCCUUGGUAAGGAUCAAGAAAUACCACAAAAGAGAGAUCUGAGAGAGUCAUAUAAGGAAUCUCUGAGUUUUAUUUGAAAAUCUGCAAAA
rnacentral:lncRNA from 1 species